rnacentral:rRNA from 1 species
UUCCCAGACUCCUACGGGAGGCAGCAGUAGGGAAUCUUUCACAAUGGACGAAAGCCUGAUGGAGCAACGCCGCGUGCAGGAUGAAGGCCUUCGGGUUGUAAACUGCUUUUAUAAGCGAGAAAUAUGAUGGUAACUUAUGAAUAAGGAUCGGCUAACUCCGUGCCAGCAGCCGCGGUAAUACGGAGGAUGCGAGCGUUAUCCGGAUUUAUUGGGUUUAAAGGGUGCGUAGGCGGACGCUUAAGUCAGCGGUAAAAUUGCGGGGCUCAACCUCGUCGAGCCGUUGAAACUGGGUGCCUUGAGUGGGCGAGAAGUACGCGGAAUGCGUGGUGUAGCGGUGAAAUGCAUAGAUAUCACGCAGAACUCCGAUUGCGAAGGCAGCAUACCGGCGGCGAUCUGACGCUGAGGCACGAAAGCGUGGGUAUCGAACAGGAUUAGAUACCCUUGUA